rnacentral:rRNA from 1 species
GAUGAACGCUGGCGGCGUGCCUAAUACAUGCAAGUCGAGCGAACGGACGAGAAGCUUGCUUCUCUGAUGUUAGCGGCGGACGGGUGAGUAACACGUGGAUAACCUACCUAUAAGACUGGGAUAACUUCGGGAAACCGGAGCUAAUACCGGAUAAUAUUUUGAACCGCAUGGUUCAAAAGUGAAAGACGGUCUUGCUGUCACUUAUAGAUGGAUCCGCGCUGCAUUAGCUAGUUGGUAAGGUAACGGCUUACCAAGGCAACGAUGCAUAGCCGACCUGAGAGGGUGAUUGGCCACCCCGGAACUGAGACACGGUUCAGACUCCUACGGGAGGCAGCAGUAGGGAAUCUUCCGCAAUGGGCGAAAGCCUGACGGAGCAACGCCGCGUGAGUGAUGAAGGUCUUCGGAUCGUAAAACUCUGUUAUUAGGGAAGAACAUAUGUGUAAGUAACUGUGCACAUCUUGACGGUACCUAAUCAGAAAGCCACGGCUAACUACGUG